GUAUAGGUUUAAUGACUGCUUGCGCAAUCGUUAAAAGACAUUCUGUAACUUUAUAGUGUAUAUGAAAACAUAGCCUUUGAAUGAAAGCAAGCAGAGGAAGGGCUUGCGCCCACUCCCCCAAACCGCAUUGCUGCGAGAGGUUCACUUCCUUUCAAAAACUACAAAAGGUGCACAAGAGAAGAUAAAUAGGAUGGACGAGCACAUGCCCGUGUUACGGGGCCAGCAUCAGAACCAAACGUAUUCAAUAAUGAUCCUUCCGCAGGUUCACCUACGGAAA
rnacentral:misc_RNA from 1 species